rnacentral:rRNA from 1 species
GAUGAACGCUGGCGGCGUGCUUAACACAUGCAAGUCGAACGGCGAACGAGGGAGCUUGCUCCCUCCGGAUCAGUGGCGAACGGGUGAGUAACACGAGAGCAAUCCGCCCUGGACUCUGGGAUAAGCGUUGGAAACGACGUCUAAUACCGGAUACGAGACGCGAAGGCAUCUUCAGCGUCUGGAACGAAUUUCGGUCCAGGAUGAGCUCGCGGCCUAUCAGGUAGUUGGUGAGGUAACGGCUCACCAAGCCGACGACGGGUAGCCGGCCUGAGAGGGUGACCGGCCACACUGGGACUGAGACACGGCCCAGACUCCUACGGGAGGCAGCAGUGGGGAAUAUUGCACAAUGGGCGCAAGCCUGAUGCAGCAACGCCGCGUGAGGGACGACGGCCUUCGGGUUGUAAACCUCUUUUAGCAGGGAAGAAGCGAAAGUGACGGUACCUGCAGAAAAAGCACCGGCUAACUACGUGCCAGCCGCCGCAGUAAGAC